rnacentral:rRNA from 1 species
CAUCGGAACGUGCCCAAUCUGGGGGAUAACGCAGCGAAAGCUGUGCUAAUACCGCAUACGAUCUACGGAUGAAAGCAGGGGAUCGCAAGACCUUGCGCGAAUGGAGCGGCCGAUGGCAGAUUAGGUAGUUGGUGAGGUAAAGGCUCACCAAGCCUUCGAUCUGUAGCUGGUCUGAGAGGACGACCAGCCACACUGGGACUGAGACACGGCCCAGACUCCUACGGGAGGCAGCAGAC